UUUCCGUAGGUGAACCUGCGGAGGGAUCAUUAUUGUAUAACCAAAGUCCCAGGGCUAUCGCUAACCUGUACCGUCGUACACUCCCAACUGCCCUCACACACAUCCAUCUCACCCCUAUGCGCACCACCGCCGGGGUCCCCCUUUGGCUUGUUCGGAGCGUGGCUUUCGUUUUCACACAACCUUAGUAUGCAUUGUUGAAUGUAUUUUUAGUUUUUCCAAUCACGCAAUCAUUACAACUGUCAACAACGGAACCCUUGGCUCUCGCAUCGACACAAGACC
rnacentral:misc_RNA from 1 species